CUGGGUAUAUUCUUCUUUCCCUAGCAUAUAAAAAUCUCCAAUAAAGUCUUCCUUUGUUUAAAUCUGUUUGGACUUUUUUUUUUAAUAGUGAAGAGGAAACAGAGAAAGGGGAGGCCUGAGGUGUGCUUCAGUGAAAAUCAAAUCCUUAGCAUCAAGAAUUUCCGUGUGUGUGUGUGUGUGUGUGUGUGUGUGUGUGUGUGUGUGUGUGUGUGUGUGUGUGUUUGUGUGUGUGUGUGUGUGUGUGUGUGUGCAUGCGCACACUGUCUAGAAUGACAUCUUCUCAUAGGUUAGGCUAUGUGACAAAGUGGAUGACAUAUCAGAAAGUUGGCAGUCAUUGAGCAAUCCAGCCAUUAGGGACAAAUGACAGAUGACUGUGUGGCCUUCUGUCAGCAUUUUGGUAAUUCUCUGAGAUUAAGUUUAAUGAAAGCUACUUAGUGCCUGCCACGUAGUAAACACCCAAAUUAGCUAUUAUUAUCAGAGUAGCAAUCAGUCAUGGUGGUGAGUGUACUUGAUUCAUUCUAAUCAACUCUCUUUCUUUCUUUCUUUCUUUCUUUCUUUCUUUCUUUCUCAUUCUUUCUUUCUUUCUCUUUGUUUCUUUCUAGUUUCUUAAUUUCUUUUUUCUUCUUUCUUAUUACUUCAUUCCUUCAUUUAUUUACUUAUUAUUUUGUAUGUGUGUCUUUGUGGGUGUAAUGUGCCCUGAAGUGCAGGUGUCCUUGAAGGACCAUAGAGCCCCUUAAGUUGGGGUUAUUGGCAGUUGUAUGCCAUCCAGCAAGAACCAAAUGGCUGAGGUCCUCAGCAAGAGUAGUGCCUGUUCUUCUACUGAACAAUCUUGUCAGUAUCCCAGCUGUACUUUCAAAUGACAAAGAACAGAAAACUUCAAACAAUUUCUGCAGAGUUCCUUUCCUUAAAUCUGUUUUUAAACAUUGCCAUGUAAGAGCUGCUACUGUCACAUGGUUUCAGACUUGGGCUAGGGGUGUGUCUGGUAGAAUGCCUGCCUUGCAUGUCUGAGGCCCUGAAUUUGGCCCUCAGUAUAUCCACCAAAGCCAGGAAAUAAACCGACUAUGGAUUCAACUGGGCUACUUGAUGCUGAUCCAGAUCCUGAAAAUUUUAAGAAUUCAAGUGUCAAAGCAUUUCCAUCUCGACUAUUCAGGAAAAUUACCAAGGUAUAAGUUAAACAAUCCCAUAAUAAAUUUCUUUUUGGGAAUUAUGUUGGGGUAAAAUAAAGAAUUCUGUAACCCAUAUUCAGUGUAGAACUGAUUUAUUCAGUGUUGAGCUGAGGUUUAAGUGAGUAAGGAAAAAAAUUAACUUAUUGAUUGUGAUAUAUAAUUUACAUGUAAAGCUUAAAGUAGAGAAAUAAUAAAAUGUAAUAGUUUUAUUGUAUAAGUACAAUUUUGUUAGACAUGAAUAACUUGAAGAAAAGAUUCUUUAUCUCAUAAUUGUUGUGAUCAAAGAAUGAAUCAAGGGAAAAAU
rnacentral:lncRNA from 1 species